CCUACGGGUGGCAGCAGUGAGGAAUAUUGGUCAAUGGGCGCGAGCCUGAACCAGCCAAGUAGCGUGCAGGAUGACUGCCCUACGGGUUGUAAACUUCUUUUAUGCAGGAAUAAAGUGAGGCACGUGUGCCUUUUUGUAUGUACUUUAUGAAUAAGGAUCGGCUAACUCCGUGCCAGCAGCCGCGGUAAUACGGAGGAUCCGAGCGUUAUCCGGAUUUAUUGGGUUUAAAGGGAGCGCAGAUGGGUUGUUAAGUCAGUUGUGAAAGUUUGCGGCUCAACCGUAAAAGUGCAAUUGAUACUGGCAGGCUUGAGUGCAGUGGAGGUAGGCGGAAUUCGUGGUGUAGCGGUGAAAUGCUUAGAUAUCACGAAGAACUCCGAUUGCGAAGGCAGCUUACUAAACUGUCACUGACAUUGAUGCUCGAAAGUGUGGGUAUCAAACAGGAUUAGAUACCCUAGUAGUC
rnacentral:rRNA from 1 species